rnacentral:rRNA from 1 species
UACGGAGGGGGCUAGCGUUGUUCGGAAUUACUGGGCGUAAAGCGCGCGUAGGCGGCUUUGUAAGUUAGAGGUGAAAGCCCGGAGCUCAACUCCGGAAUUGCCUUUAAGACUGCAUCGCUAGAAUCAUGGAGAGGUGAGUGGAAUUCCGAGUGUAGAGGUGAAAUUCGUAGAUAUUCGGAAGAACACCAGUGGCGAAGGCGACUCACUGGGACGGUAUUGACGCUGAGACGCGAAAGCGUGGGGAGCAAACAGG